rnacentral:rRNA from 1 species
GGAACUGAGACACGGUCCAGACUCUAUGGAGAGGCAGCAGUGGAGGAUUUUGGACAAUGAGCGACAGCUUGAUCCAGCUGACCCGCAUCGGGCUCGAAGGCGACACCGCGUCGGGUGCCCGCAAAGAAAGGGGGGCAGUGUGAGGUAACCCUUUCCAGAGAGUGCUGUCAAAUAUCUGUGCCAGCAGUCGCGGUAAUACAGGUAGCGCAAGCGUUGCUUGAAUGAUUGGGCGUAAAGGGGGCGUAGGCGGAAAGGAUCAGAAACCACUAUCUUGAUGCAAGUCCUGCAUACUCUGGUGGUGAAGAUUUUUUCUAGGGUUGUUUUGUCCGGGAGUAGAAUUGGGAAGGGAGGGGUUCAAUCUGUUGAGUUUCCUACGAAUACCGGAGCCGAAAGGGACUCCCUGUGAACACACCGACGCUGAGGCCCGAAAGCUCGGAUACUGAAGACGAUUAGGUACCGUCGUAACCCGAGCCACAAACGAUGCUAACAACCCUGUGGCGGGCUCUCGUCCUGCUAGGGCACUUUAACGAAGAAGUUAGCCGCCUGGAGACUACGGCCGCAAGGCUAAAAUCCAAGGGAACUGACGGGUAUCUCUACAUGCAGUGGAGCAUGUGGUUUAAUUCGAAGCAACGCGAAGAACCUUACCAGGCCUUGACAUGCAGAGAACU